rnacentral:rRNA from 1 species
AUGGCAAGGCUGCCGCCGGUCAGCCUUACCAUUUAUUCCUCACGGGCGGCGCGUCACGGGGCGACGCCGCUCGGCCGGCGCACUCGCAGUGCCGGCAUCGUCAUCAACGAGGGCGGCCGGCGCGCCUCCUUGUCGGCUCCUCCGCGCUUCGUCAAGCCCAAGACGGAGCCGGGCCUCCCCGCGGUGAAGACGGAGCACGGCGGCGACGACGACGCGGCCCUAGAAUGGGCGCGCGCGGACUCCCUGAAGAUGGCGAGGGAGCGCCAGUGCGCCGCCCUGCGGCGAUUCGCGCAGCGAUGCCGGGGCCGCGACGAAGGAGGAGUCGUCGUCAUCGAGGACAGCGACGACGACGACGCGCCGCCGCCACCAGUCCGCGUUGGCGACGCCGGUCAGGGGUCCACUAGGGACGGCCGCGUCAAGGAGGAGAAGCCCGACGACGACGGCGGCGGUGAGGAUGGCGGCGACGACGGCGACUAUUCCGUGUUCGGCCAGUUUCUUUUUUAA